AGGUGGGCGUGGUUAUUAUCCGGUUUCUUUCAUUUUUGGACUGUAUAAGGAAAUGGCUAAAAAAAAACGACUGCAGAAAGUUUGGCUUAUAUAGCUUUAUUGGUUUGCGAGUUAUAUACAAAAAACUUAUUUGAGGGCGGGGUCACGCCCACUUUUCCAAAAAAAUUACAUCCAAAUGUGCCCCUCCCUAAUGGAUCCUAUGUUCCAAAUUUCAUUUUCAUAACUUUAUUUAUGACUUAGUUAUGACACUGUAUAGGUUUUCGGUUUCCUCCAUUUUGUGGGCGUGGCAGUGGACCGAUUUUGCCCAUUUUCGAAAGCAACCUCCUCAAGAUGCCAAGGAACAUGUGUUCCAACUUUCAUUAAGAUAUCUUAAUUUUUACUCAAGUUAUCGCUUGCACGGACAGACGGACAGACGGACGGACAGACAUCCGGAUUUCAAAUCUACUCGUCAUCCUGAUCAUUUAUGUAUAUAUAACCCCAUAUCUAACUCUUAUAUUUCUUGGUGACACAAACAACCGUUAUGUGAACAAAACUAUGAUACUCUGUGCAACAGGUUGCGAGAGUAUAAAAAUAGAAGAAGAAAACCCAAAUAUAGCGAACCAGGACAAUUUAAAUUUUAAGAUUAAAGAUAUGUUCUGUUUCAUUUUGUUUUUUUUUUCUUGAAUUAUUUAUUAGGAGCAUACUGUACAUUAUAAUUUUCCUUUUAUAUACAAUAUCUUACUUACAAUUUUCAUUUAUGACAUGUUUUCUUUUAAUCCUCUUUCGUUUUGCUUUUUCAUUUAAUUAAAUUUGUUUAUGUGCUAUCCGCAGUCUGACAAAGUAAUUUUAACUAUUGUGUCCUUUGCAAAAAUGUCAUAUAAUCAAGCUUCAGCAUUGAAUAUGUUGCAUUUGAAUGAACAGCAGUGCAGUCAUAAAACCAAAAUUGUAAAAAAAGGAAGUAAUUCUCUCUACGCCAUAAUGACUGCUAUGAUGUCUUCUUAUCAAAGUCAUCAUGACCUCAAGCUCUGUUCACACCACAAAUUCCAUUACACGCGCGAAAACAUCGUCGCGCUCGUAAAAUUCUCGCCGUCACCAAGAGGAGGGUUUCAAAAUUUUCGCUUUGUGUUUGUAUGGAUGUGGUGGCAUGUGGUUUUGUGUACAUGGUAGUGUGUGUGCGUGAAUGAGGAAAUGGGUCAAGCAUGUAAGCAGCUCAACAACAACACCAGCAGCCAAAGUUGCAGCAAUCAGUGAGAGCAAUAUGGCCAAUUCUUUGAAAUGUUUCAAGAUUUAAUUGUUGUUUAAAUAACAAAAAUCAUCAUUCAAUACCUAAAUAAAUUAUAGUGGAAUAUAUGUUAAUUAGCCUGGAGAAACGUGCAGCACUUGCCUUGUGGUAUCAUCAUCGUCUAUCAUUUGACGUUUAUAUGAACAUUUAUGCGCGUUUUCCUCAUCACUAACACCAGUAGCCUGAUUAAGUGCUCUCAGCGUGAUCCUUGAGUGCAGACACGUGAUAAACUUUCAUUUUAUAUGCAUUGCAUAUACUUAGCCUGUGGAAAUUCUAUCAAUUCGAUGGCCACUUAUGAACGAAAUGCAAUUGUCAUUGUCAUGAAUCUCACCACAAAUGCAGCUGAGCCAAUAUAACGUCACGCAAUGCCAAUGAUGCUGUUCACAGCUCGCUAUCUUAUAUAAUAUGUACAUUGUAGAGUGUGAAAGUGGAUAUUCUGAUAUGUAUAUAUGUGUGUGUCUGGUGUCACAGUGGUGAGGCAAGCUGUUCUUGGUUUUGAUCAUAAAAAUACAAAUUCUUGAUUUUAAGCACUUAAUAUGUAUUUAACACUUUUCAAAAAGGCAAUUCGAAAUCACCAAUCACAUAUGUAUAUGCAAAUUGGUUUGUCAUAUCUUACGACUUUAUAAAGCAAUUAAUAAAAAAAUCUGAAAUUUUGCCCUUGUUCAUACUUUCAUUUAUUAUAUAAAAGUUAUGUAAUUUGAUUAAAUGUCCAAAUAUUGAAUAUGCUGAAGCAAACGCUCUCCAACACAAGGCUGUUGACAUAAUUUUGACCAACUUUUCAGUUCGCUGCUUCCAUACUCUAGCGUAGACUCAGCAGAUUGUGAACGCUGUGUCUGACUGCAUGAUUUAUGACUUUUGAAGUCUUCGGUUACUACGCGUUCUCGACUCACUGAAAUUUUUGAUUUUUCCUUUUUUUUUCAAAAGAUUAAAAAAAAAUCAAGUACUUCCUCGUACACCUUGAGUGGCAAGAGAGGAAAUGGAAUUUAAAAUUUGUCACUCUCUUGACUGUUUUUGGCGGCAAAUUAUAGCGAAGCAUUGUAGCGCGAAAUUAGUCAAUUUUCGUUAGUAACAACUUCCUUUCGUCGACAAAAUUCGAUGAUACUAGUCGAUGUGUACGAGUGAUUAUAAUAUCCUGAGUUGCGCGAAAAUUAUGGCUGGCCAAAGAUUUCGUGUCAGUGAGUAACACUUACCAUAUUAUAAGCGGAUAUUUAAUAAGCAACACAGUCAACUAAUAGAAAUUUAUGUGUAUAGUUCGUUUGCGUGAACUUUCGCAGGCAUAAGCUCAUUUUCUUUGUGCUAUUUUGCACGUGAGUUUAAUAUAGAGGCGUUAUGUAGAAUUUUGGGGCUGUUGUUGAGCGAACCACACCUUGCAACUAUCACAGCAUAGGAUUGGUAUUCGAUUCCCUUUUCAUUUUAAGAGGCGUAGAUUAAAAAUAUAGCCUUAAGCUGUGUAAAAAAUUACCCAAAGUUUAUUAUCCAAGAGGUUAUAAUUACAUUGCUUUAGCUAGUGGCCCGGAGGGUAUUUUCAUUUCGCUUUCCUUGGCAAAAUUUGAAGUGCCUACCAGAAGGAGUCUCUCAUUCUCUGCAAACUCUAUAUUUUUCCUUUCAGAGCUAAUUUGACAUUGUCGUACAGUUCAUACGACUCACAUCUUUCUUCUUAUUCCUUAAAUAUAAUCACGUAGUAACUUUCUGUCGAACACCUCAAGAUUUGCGUCAUCAAAACAUCGUUCACGCCGUUUUACCAAACAUUAAGUGGUACACCUAGUGUAAUGGCCUAAAAAAGGUGAUUUUUGAGAAUUUUUAUUAAAAAAACUACUUUAUCAAUUAUUUCAAAAUUUUAAGAAUAUAUUUAUAUAUGAUUCAAGAAUAUAAAGUGAAAUUUUUGAAAAAAAAAUUAAAUAUUUUUUAAGUUAUAGUCGAUCUCCAACGGCGCGAAAAAAAGGUCCUUCACUGCUGCAGUGAUUCCGGCCUUCUCCGUGGAUGAAAUCUAAAAAAACAAAAUUCUCCUUAAACUAGAUAAUAUUGUCUGUACAAUGACCUACGAUAAAAAAAAUCGAAAAUUGACAAUAUGGCGACUUAAAAAGAAAAUAGUCGAAUUUUACCCAAAAUUUUGGUCGAUUUUGGUCUGCCAAAAUUCGAUUUUUUGAUCAGAUCAAAAAUCGAUAGGUCAUUGUACGGAGAACUAUAUAAAGAACAUGUAAAAAACUCGAUAGUGAUCGGAUCAUUUGUUUUUGAGUAAUCACUGCAGCAAAUUCGGAAAAUGAUGUUUCGAGAAAAAGGCGUUUAAAGAUAAAAUGAUCGUAUUCACUGUUACCGAGCGGCUGAUCUGUUGGAAAAUAAAUCAGCAGUAAUUAGAGACUCGGGAUUUUCCUCUAAAUUAAACUGAUUUAUUUUAAAAGUCAACAAGUUCAAGAUUUUAUAAAAUAAACUAAUCAAACUAAUAAUAUGGCAACUCUUAUUAUUAUGCACUGCUAAAUAUCAGUUAAAAUUGCAAACGUGUACCAUAUCAAUAGUGUGCACGCCUGCAGGUAUGCAAUGCUAAAUACCAUUUGUCAUGAAUUUAUGGUGUCUUGUGUACAACGGUAUGUAAGUAAGUACUUACACACACACUCAUACGCGGUGACUGUAUACUUCCCUAUCGGAGGCAAUGCGACAACGCCGUGCCUUGCAUGCCGUACGCGUGAGAUAGCACAAUUUAUGCCUCUCAGUUGGUGAAAGUGUAAAAUACGGCUGUUGCAUGCAAAUCGCUGGUUGGACGAGCACACAACGACGGCGAUGACGACACGCCAGCGCUGCAAUGACAGAAGCGACAUACUUCUAGGUUGCCUUUCGCAAAUUUUCUCUCUCGAAUGCAAUUUUAUGCACAUAUUUGAGCACAAAUACACACAUACACGCGCGCACUCACUAGCUACUCGAAUUGUUGGUGACAUACAACACGGCAAUAAUUGCAACCAAUUCAGUGGCAAACAUUGUUUCACGUGGCGUGUAUGCAAAUGCCGUUGACGUUGAUGGUAACAACAACUGCAUGCCGAACAUAUUCCCGUGCCUUUCGGCUGCGUUCUCAUGAGAAAUGCCAGGUUGCACCAACUUGCUUUUACAUACAUGUACAGUUGCGAGCAUUGAAAUAGUGGUGCCUAUUGGCAAGAAGAAUUUUGUUUUAAAAUUUUGUUAUUUUAUGAUAUUGCCGUUCAUUAUUAUUGUUAUAUUCACUGAGAUUUAACUGCCUUGUUAUACAAAACAACAAGUGUGAAACACUUACCGUUACUAUUUUAUAAUUAAUUUUAUUAAGAUAUCUGUUUUUUUGAGCGAGCAAUAGAAUAGUAGUGAAAGGUGAGCUGAUCCAAAAAAACAAUAUUUUUACUACAAAAUAUUUAUUUUUAUGAUACAAAAAGUGGGUUUCCUUUUCUUUUAUUUGUUAUGCAAUGAAAAAUUAAAAAACAACUUUUAGUGGGCCGCGGGAAGCACUGUGGUGAAGAAAAACGAUAUCUCUCAUAAAUACAGGUGAAACCUACAAAGAAGUGGAAAAACUUAUAGGGUGUUCAGCCAAAAUGAUUCGCAAUGCAAUUAUUUAUAAGAAAAAAUACGAAAAAAGGGGCGCAAGGUGGAUUAUUUCUGAGCAGUGUCUACGAAAAGUCGUAAGAUGCGCUAAAACUCGACCUACAAUGUCAGCUGUGGAGAUUUGGGACGUACUGAAACUGCCCUGCGGUGUUCACACAGUGAGAGAACUUCUACGUGAACAUAAUUUAUAUGCUCGCAGUCCUCUACAAACACUGUUAUAAAAAAAAUCAUGUAGCACGAUGUCUUAAAUUUUACUAAAGAACACCUAACUUGACCGAUUGGGAAAUGACGCAACAUCUUGUGGACCGACGACUCGAAAGUGGUUCAAUACGGCGGAAAAGGGGACCGUUAGUAUGUAUGACGUCCCUUUAAUACAGAGGACGACCCUAGAUUCACCACAAAAACUUUGAAGCAUGACGCUCCGAGUGUCAUGGUUUUGGGCUAUUUUUCUUACCACACCUAAGUAUGGUGUUAGGCCCAGUUCACUAGAUUUCUGACAUAAUGGCGAAACGCAUACGAGGAUAUAAUGUCGAAUAUUGUGAGACCAUUUGCUGAAUAGGAUAUGCCGCUGAAGUGGAUAUUACAGCAGGAUAAUGACCCGAGUCACACCACUUGGGUGGCAAAGAAAUGGUUUCGGGUCAAUGGAAUUGAGUUCAUGGAUUGGCCAGCUCAAGCCCCUGACCUCAAUCCCAUUGAAAACCUUUUGACAGACGUAAACAAAGUCGUGUGGGAUGAUAAACCCAAAAACAACGAGUUGUGGACCGUAGUGCAGCAAGCAUGGAGAGCAUACCACUGAAAAGAUCCCGGGGUCUCGUAGGUUCUAUGAAGAGGUGUUGUGUUUUACUGCUCCCUAUAAUUUUCACACAUAAACACACCUUUGUAAAAAACAUAUUUUGCACCUAUGCAAAUCAAAAUAUUUUUAUUAAUAAACAUAGCCUGAAAAAUAUAAUCCAUUUUUGCAUUUCAAUAGUUGUUAAAAUUGUUUGGUAUUUUGUAUAACUCAAAGAUAUGUAAAACUCUAACACCCACUAAUAUUUCACUGCUCGCAGCUGUAUAUUAUUUAUCCGCAAUUAUGCUCAAGAAUAUGCUAGUUUUGGUCGCAUUUGCACGUCGUUUCGGCGACUUUCCACUCAGUCAUUUGCUUGGUUAGCCGACUACUUGUGAGUUGCAUUUUGGUUUCGUUUUCGUUGUUGUUAUUGUUACAAAUUUGCCAUAACGGUUCAGCGAAAAUGUCACAAAGUGUCAUUCAUUAUGUCACGCACCCGCUCUCACCUAUCUCAUAUGUAUAUAAUACCGGCAUAUUAUGCUCGUAGCUUUAAGUCAACCACAGUAGCAAAUGGUCCCAGGUUAGAAAUCAUUAACUUCUUCGAUGAGAUCACCGAUGUGUUCAAAAGACAACUAAGCAUCUAAAAAGAUAGCGAAAGAGAGAGAGAGAGUUUCACCAUGGUUCCUGCUUUAUUUUGCUACGUUAUCUCAUUACGUUUUUAUAAGAUCAUCAAGCUUGAAGUUGGUAUAUCUAAUACGAAAUGUUAACCGAACCUUCAAAUAACUCUACAAGCAAAAAUAUUGUAUAUCUUAAUUACAAAGGAUCAAAGUAAAAAAAAAUUAUUGAUUUCACUAUUAAUAUAAGUAUUUUCCGAAACUGUUAAUAAAUUUUUAUAUUUUCUUUGCAGAAGACAAAACAAGAAUACAUUUUGACACCUAGACCUCAGAUAA